rnacentral:rRNA from 1 species
AGCUCCAAUAGCGUAUAUUAAAGUUGUUGCGGUUAAAAAGCUCGUAGUUGGAUUUCUGCCGGUGAGCGACGGUCUGCCCUCAGCGGUACGUACUCGUCACGCCACCGGCAUCUUCCUGGGGAAUGUAUCUGCACUUAAUUGUGUGGUGCCCGAUCCAGGACUUUUACUUUGAGGAAAUUACAGUGUUUCAAGCAGGCUCACGCUCUCUGAAUACGUUAGCAUGGAAUAAUAGCAUCGGACCUCGUUCCAAAGCUGUUGGUUUCUUGGUACG